GAAGAAGAUAUGCAAUGGUUUCG
rnacentral:sRNA from 1 species